rnacentral:lncRNA from 1 species
GCGUCCCCGCGGGGUCCCCGUACCCGAGAUGCCGCGCUUGAGCCAGCGCGGCGUCCCCAGCUCGAUGAAGAAGUUCUCCUUCUUCUCGUACUCCUCAUCGUCCACGAUCUUCACCUGCAGCGUCUUCCUGGGGCGGGACACGCGGCACACUCGGCAUCGCGGCCGGCAGCAUCACCAUCAUCAUCAUCGGCAUCAUCAUCAUCAUCAUUCGCACUCAUCAUCAUCGUCAUCAUCACCAUUGUCAUCAUCAUCCACACUCAUUGUCAUCAUCAUCAUCAUCCACACCCAUCAUCAUCAUCAUCAUCAUCGUCAUCAUCGUCAUCAUCGUCAUCCACACUCAUCGUCAUCAUCAUCAUCAUCAUCAUCAUCAUCAUCAUCAUCAUCAUCACCAUCAUCAUCAUCAUCAUCAUCCACACUCACCAUCAUCAUCACCAUCACCAUCAUCAUCAUCACCAUCGUCAUCAUCAUCCACUCUCAUCAUCAACAUCCUCAUCAUCAUCAUCAUCCAUCAUCAUCAUCCAUCAUCAUCAUCAUCCAUCAUCAUCAUCAUCACCAUCAUCAUCAUCAUCCACACUCAUCAUCAUCAUCCACACUCAUCAUCAUCAUCACCAUCAUCAUCAUCAUCCACUCUCAUCAUCACCAUCAUCAUCAUCAUCCAUCAUCAUCAUCAUCAUCAUCAUCAUCAUCAUCCAUCUUCAUCAUCAUCAUCAUCAUCAUCAUCGUUGUCAUCAUCAUCCACACUCACCAUCAUCAUCACCAUCACCAUCAUCAUCCAUCAUCAUCAUCAUCCACACUCAUCAUCAUCAUCCACACCCAUCAUCAUCAUCAUCAUCACCAUCAUCAUCAUCCACUCUCACCAUCAUCAUCAACAUCCUCAUCAUUGUCAUCAUCCAUCAUCAUCACCAUCAUCAUCAUCUUCACCAUCAUCAUCAUCAUCAUCAUCAUCCACACUCAUCAUCAUCCAUCAUCAUCAUCAUCAUCAUCCACACUCAUCAUCAUCCAUCAUCAUCAUCAUCAUCAUCCAUCAUCCAUCAUCAUCAUCACCAUCACCACCACCACCAUCAUCCUCCUCCUCCGCCCUCCCCUCUCCCCGCGC